rnacentral:rRNA from 1 species
UGGGGAAUUUUGCGCAAUGCUCGUAAGAGUGACGCAGCGACGCCGCGUGAAUGACGAAGGCCUUCGGGUCGUAAAGUUCUUUCGACAGGGAAGAAAAUGCCUAUAAGUAACUGUGUAUGUAUUGACGGUACCUGUAUAAGCAGCCCCGGCUAACUCCGUGCCAGCAGCCGCGGUAAUACGGAGGGGGCGAGCGUUGUUCGGAGUGACUGGGCGUAAAGAGCACGUAGGCGGUGUUGUAAGUCAUUAGUCAAAGACUAGAGCUCAACUUUAGUAAGGCUAGUGAUACUAUAAUACUAGAGUAUC